GAUGAACGCUGGCGGCGUGCUUAACACAUGCAAGUCGAACGGAAAGGCCCAAGCUUGCUUGGGUACUCGAGUGGCGAACGGGUGAGUAACACGUGGGUGAUCUGCCCUGCACUUCGGGAUAAGCCUGGGAAACUGGGUCUAAUACCGGAUAGGACGAUGGUUUGGAUGCCAUUGUGGAAAGUUUUUUCGGUGUGGGAUGAGCUCGCGGCCUAUCAGCUUGUUGGUGGGGGAAUGGCCUACCAAGGCGUCGACGGGUAGCCGGCCUGAGAGGGUGUACGGCCACAUUGGGACUGAGAUACGGCCCAGACUCCUACGGGAGGCAGCAGGGGGGAAUAUUGCACAAUGGGCGCAAGCCUGAUGCAGCGACGCCGCGUGGGGGAUGACGGCCUUCGGGUUGUAAACUCCUUUCGCUAGGGACGAAGCGUUUUUGUGACGGUACCUGGAGAAGAAGCACCGGCUAACUACGUG
rnacentral:rRNA from 1 species